rnacentral:rRNA from 2 species
UGCAAGUCGAACGAUGAAGCUUCUAGCUUGCUAGAAGUGGAUUAGUGGCGCACGGGUGAGUAAGGUAUAGUUAAUCUGCCCUACACAAGAGGACAACAGUUGGAAACGACUGCUAAUACUCUAUACUCCUGCUUAACACAAGUUGAGUAGGGAAAGUUUUUCGGUGUAGGAUGAGACUAUAUAGUAUCAGCUAGUUGGUAAGGUAAUGGCUUACCAAGGCUAUGACGCUUAACUGGUCUGAGAGGAUGAUCAGUCACACUGGAACUGAGACACGGUCCAGACUCCUACGGGAGGCAGCAGUAGGGAAUAUUGCGCAAUGGGGGAAACCCUGACGCAGCAACGCCGCGUGGAGGAUGACACUUUUCGGAGCGUAAACUCCUUUUCUUAGGGAAGAAUUCUGACGGUACCUAAGGAAUAAGCACCGGCUAACUCCGUGCCAGCAGCCGCGGUAAUACGGAGGGUGCAAGCGUUACUCGGAAUCACUGGGCGUAAAGGGCGCGUAGGCGGAUUAUCAAGUCUCUUGUGAAAUCUAAUGGCUUAACCAUUAAACUGCUUGGGAAACUGAUAGUCUAGAGUGAGGGAGAGGCAGAUGGAAUUGGUGGUGUAGGGGUAAAAUCCGUAGAUAUCACCAAGAAUACCCAUUGCGAAGGCGAUCUGCUGGAACUCAACUGACGCUAAGGCGCGAAAGCGUGGGGAGCAAACAGGAUUAGAUACCCUGGUAGUCCACGCCCUAAACGAUGUACACUAGUUGUUGGGGUGCUAGUCAUCUCAGUAAUGCAGCUAACGCAUUAAGUGUACCGCCUGGGGAGUACGGUCGCAAGAUUAAAACUCAAAGGAAUAGACGGGGACCCGCACAAGCGGUGGAGCAUGUGGUUUAAUUCGAAGAUACGCGAAGAACCUUACCUGGGCUUGAUAUCCUAAGAACCUUUUAGAGAUAAGAGGGUGCUAGCUUGCUAGAACUUAGAGACAGGUGCUGCACGGCUGUCGUCAGCUCGUGUCGUGAGAUGUUGGGUUAAGUCCCGCAACGAGCGCAACCCACGUAUUUAGUUGCUAACGGUUCGGCCGAGCACUCUAAAUAGACUGCCUUCGUAAGGAGGAGGAAGGUGUGGACGACGUCAAGUCAUCAUGGCCCUUAUGCCCAGGGCGACACACGUGCUACAAUGGCAUAUACAAUGAGACGCAAUACCGCGAGGUGGAGCAAAUCUAUAAAAUAUGUCCCAGUUCGGAUUGUUCUCUGCAACUCGAGAGCAUGAAGCCGGAAUCGCUAGUAAUCGUAGAUCAGCCAUGCUACGGUGAAUACGUUCCCGGGUCUUGUACUCACCGCCCGUCACACCAUGGGAGUUGAUUUCACUCGAAGCCGGAAUACUAAACUAGUUACCGUCCACAGUGGAAUCAGCGACUGGG